AGCUUUCUAGUCUACUAUAUGUGUGAUUUCACAGAGACCAUGAAGACAGUUGGUUUGCUUACCUGUAACCAUGUUUCUUUGAGUGGUCACCUGUGAAUUUUGCACAUCCCCGCCCAUCCUCCCUGCUAUUGUCAUGCCUCUCUUUCUUUGGCUAUCAUAGGUGGCGAAGGAACUAAGGCUACAGCCCCUCACACUGGCUAUAUAUCAUCUGGCAAGUGUGGGCUGGGCUAUAGCCUUAAACCAAAGAGCUUUCCAGAAGAUUACGAGACUUGCUGCACAGGCACAGGAAACUACCAUAUGUGCGAUUUCACAGAUGACCACUCAAAGAAACAUGAUUACAAGAAUGCAAGGAGUUUGCCCUGAUAAAUAUGAAUCUUCUACCUGCAUACAGGACCCCAUAGGAACGAUGGAGAGAAGGAAACAGGAAUAUGAUCCAUAAGUUCAGUUUCCACAGAUCAGAAGAUUGCUGCCUGCUGCCUGUACUUUUGUCAAACCACUUGUUAUAUCUGUGUUCAUGUAUGCUUGCAGUGAUUUGGUUGGACAGCUAUGAGUUAGAUGCAACACAUGCUUAUGUAGCUUGGCUACAUAAAGGCACUCUGCACAUAUCUUUGCUGUCAAUCUUCUAAUUAUCCAAUGUACAGGAAACUAUUUCUGGAAGGUGCUACCAACAUAUCAUACUGUUCUGACUGCAGACCCAUUUAGUGUUCAUUUGUGGAAUAAAAUAUUAUACAUAACAUCGGAGUUAUAGUUAUUUAUUUCAGUGGAGACACAGGGAAAUCUUUGUCCAUUGCCAUUUGGAGCAGAUGUAAUAUAUUCCAGCAGAAAGAAAGGUGGGAGAGCUAGGGGAUGAAAACUGAAGUUUUAUAUAACAAGAGGUUAAGGGGGAAGAAAGGCUUGACAUGAUUCCCAGUCAUAAGUGAGGAUGACAUGGAUUCCUACAUAGUCCCAGUCAUGGGGCGGGAGAGGAUGGAGGACCUCAGCACAGUCCUCAGGCACAAUGUAGAGUGGCAGUGCCCUGCACACAAUCUAUGAACAGAGAGUGGAAGGGCAUGUCCUUAUCAUGUUUUAAGAGAAGAGAAUGGGAAGGGCCCAUUCUCAGUUCCAGGCAUAUUGUUGAAGGGAGGAAAGUGGGAAGAGACAAACCUGUUCUCUCAUCCCAUUACUGAGGCAGAGAGGUAGAAGGCAAGUCACACUGCUGCUGCUCAGUCGUUUAGUCAUCUCUGACUCUUCGUGACCGCAUGGACCAGUCCAUGCCAGAGCUCCCUGUUGGUUGUUACCGCCCCCAGUUCCUUCAAGGUCAUGCCAGUCACUUCAAGGAUACGCUCCAUCCAUCUUGCCCUUGGUCGGCCUCUCUUCCUUUUUCCUUCCAUUUUCCCCAGCAUCGUGAUCUUUUCCAAGCUUUCCUGUCUCCUCAUGAUGUGGCCAAAAUACUUUGCCUCUAAUAUCCUUCCCUCCAAUGAGCAGCCGGGCAUUAUUUCCUGAAGGAUGGACUGGUUGGAUCUUCUUGCGGUCCAAGGCACGCUCAGGAUUUUCCUCCAGCACCAUAGUUCAAAAGCGUCUAUCUUCCUUCGCUCAGCUUUCCUUAUGGUCCAGCUCUCGCAUCCAUAGGUUACUAUGGGGAAUAGUAUAGCACAGUAUAGCUCAUGGCUUCCUCGAGGCACUCAAACCCCAGCACCAUGUCAAGGUAACGAUCCAACCUGGAGGGCAAGUCACACGCAGCCUAUUAAAAAGAGGAGCGAAAGAAAGAAGAAUGAAUAUCUCUUAGUGCCAGAGUUUAGGAAAGCUUAGAGCACAAAAAAGAUAUUGCUUGGUUUUCAAUUCCCAUGAUACCCUAGACAUCAGGACAGUCUUCCUAACCUCUGUCCAAUUCAGUGUGGCUCUGUGCUCUAAAGUGUUUGGAAGGCGAUACAGUAGAGUCUCACUUAUCCAAGCCUCACUUAUCCAAGCCUCUGGAUUAUCCAAGCCAUUUUUGUAGUCAAUGUUUUCAAUAUAUUGUGAUAUUUUGGUGCUAAAUUCGUAAAUAUAGUAAUUACAACAUAACAUUAUUGCGUAUUGAACUACUUUUUCUGUCAAAUUUGUUUUGGUGCUUAAUUUGUAAAAUCAUAACCAAUUUGAUGUUUAAAAGGCUUUUCCUUAAUCCCUCCUUAUUAUCCAAGAUAUUCGCUCAUCCAAGCUUCUGCCGGCCCGUUUAGCUUGGAUAAGUGAGACUCUACUGUAGUUGCAACCACCUAUGGACCACAAUAAAAACAAACUAAAUGGCCCUGUAUGAACAACCCACAGGAAUCCUGGCCUGCUUCAUUCCCAAUCCCUCAAAUCCACAGGCUUGGUGAGAGAAUUGUGCACCCUAGUGCUAUUUUAUACAGCACUGCACACACCAUCAUAAGUUUUGGCAUCUUCUGUACAGGGAAAGGUUAUUCGUGGCAGUCAAAGCUAUGCAUCUGCUCCCUCUGUUAUUGCCAUCAUGCUGUGUCAAUCUUCCAUGAAAUUUCUAGGUACAGGGCAAGAUACCAUAAAGCAUUUUUGAAAUAGUACUACGCCACCACUUUAGAGCCUAUUGAUAAAAAAUCAAUAGUCCCAUCAACUAAAAUGAAAAAAAAAAGUGCUAAUGAAGCACUACUGUUGGGCUUUCCCCAUGAUGCCAAGAUACAGGGGCUCAAAGAUCUUGCAAUUUACAUGCAACAUUAAAUUGCAACAUUUAGAAAAUAAAAAUUGCUGAGUGAAUGUUAGAUGAGGUAUUGUGCUAGAGAAUGAGGAGUCUUGGUUACUAAUUAUUCCCUUUGAGUGACAGACAUAUUCUCUAAAUCCCUGAUUUAUUUGUAUUGUUUUGAAAAUAACACUUGGUCCCACAUGAGAUAGCCUCAGAGAUAACUUUGUACGAAUUGUCAGAGCUCCCUCAAUCCCCAGUUCAGGUCAUGCAGGAUUUCAGUAGCCUACCUCCUUUGAAAUAUUCAGACACAGUGGUGCUCAUAUUUCAAGAUAUCUCCUAGGGUAUUAUGCCAGGAAAAAGGAUUUCAAAUCAUUCACUUUGCUCUUGCGAGAAGUGGGAAGUCUAAGUUGUGGAGUUUUCUGUUUCUGUUUAAAUUAUCAUGCUGAGAAAAUCAUGAUCACAACUACCAUGACACAAAUUUUGCAGAACUGUGAAGGAAUAGGUAUCUAGAUGCCAAGGAAGAUGGAGGAAUUGGCUAAAGAGCCUGAAGCUUGUGAGAAGAAGAAUACCACAUCUGGCUGGAAGAAUUGAUGACACUGAGUUGGAGGGGAUUCUGGUUGUGAAGAUCUGUUAUGGAGAGCUGAGGCUUUAGUUACCAUUUUGUUUCUUGUCUUUGUUCUGUUGAAAAAUGUGACAAAUUGCUUACAUGGAAGUAGGGGGGAAUGGCCAUUUGGAAAAGAAGAGGGUUUUAAAAAAUACCUCUGAGAAUUAUGUCUCAUAAAGAAAAAUGGUGGAGUACAUUUGAGAGACAAGUUCUUUAGCUUAUGUUGGGACAUGUAUUUGUUGGUAUUAUGUUUGGAUUUUGUUUGUAAUUCUAAAUGUCAAAUGGAUAAGGCAAAUAAAGAAUAUUUUAUAUAAA